rnacentral:rRNA from 1 species
GAUGAACGCUAGCUACAGGCUUAACACAUGCAAGUCGAAGGGGAAACGACAUCAAAAGCUUGCUUUUGAUGGGCGUCGACCGGCGCACGGGUGAGUAACGCGUAUCCAACCUGCCCACCACUUGGGGAUAACCUUGCGAAAGUAAGACUAAUACCCAAUGAUAUCCCACGAAGGCAUCGGAAUGGGAUUAAAGAUUUAUCGGCUAUGGAUGGGGAUGCGUCUGAUUAGGUUGUUGGCGGGGUAACGGCCCACCAAGCCUACGAUCAGUAGGGGUUCUGAGAGGAAGGUCCCCCACAUUGGAACUGAGACACGGUCCAAACUCCUACGGGAGGCAGCAGUGAGGAAUAUUGGUCAAUGGACGGAAGUCUGAACCAGCCAAGUAGCGUGCAGGAUGACGGCCCUAUGGGUUGUAAACUGCUUUUAUAGGGGGAUAAAGUGUGCCACGUGUGGCAUAUUGCAGGUACCCUAUGAAUAAGGACCGGCUAAUUCCGUG